GACAGAGGGUGCAAACGUUGUUCGGAAUUACUGGGCGUAAAGCGCGUGUAGGCGGCCCUGCAAGUCGGAUGUGAAAUCCCACGGCUCAACCGUGGAAGUGCAUUCGAAACUGCAGGGCUAGAGUCCUGGAGAGGAAGGUGGAAUGCUUGGUGUAGAGGUGAAAUUCGUAGAUAUCAGGAGGAACACCGGUGGUGUAGACGGCUUUCUGGACCGUAACUGACGCUGAGAGCGAAAGCAUGGGGAGCGAACAG
rnacentral:rRNA from 1 species